rfam:Clostridium cellulolyticum H10, complete genome.
GAGAACUGAUAAUCCAAGAGGUGGAAUGAUAGGGUAACGCCUUAAAACGCCUCCCCUGAUACUCCGACUGGCAUCUUCAAGAAAAAGUUUUUGUCAGAAGCUCGGUAAAGACGACUGAGAGAUACCGUAGUCUGCGUAAGUAGAACGAAAGCUGUUCAGAGGUGAAUGGUGUAUCCCAUAGGUCGGGGGUCUAUAAA